UGAUGUGAUCACCUGGCACCGC
rnacentral:miRNA from 13 species